rnacentral:tRNA from 1 species
GCGUUUGUAGUCCAACGUUAGGAUAAUUGCCUUCCAAGCAAUACCCGGGUUCGACUCCCGGCAAACGCA